GUAGAGGCAUUGGUUUGGGUCACAAACUUCGUGCUUAUAAUUUACAAGAUGCUGGACGUGAUACUGUUGAAGCGAAUGAAGAUCUUGGUUUGCCCGUUGAUUCAGUAGAGGCAUUGGUUUGGGUCACAAACUUCGUGCUUAUAAUUUACAAGAUGCUGGACGUGAUACUGUUGAAGCGAAUGAAGAUCUUGGUUUGCCCGUUGAUUCAAGAGAGUAUGGGGUUGGUGCACAGAUCUUAAGGGAUCUUGGUGUUCGAACUAUGAAGUUGAUGACGAACAAUCCUGCAAAAUACAGCGGGCUGAAGGGUUAUGGUUUGGCAAUUUCUGGUAGGGUCCCCGUUGUUACUCCCAUUACAAAAGACAACAAGAGAUAUUUGGAAACAAAACGAGCUAAAAUGGGCCAUGUAUACGGCUUGAACCUUAUUCGCCCGGCAACCAGCACCAGCACAACAAAUGGUAAACCAAACUCUGAGAAUACUUCUACUAUAAGAUGAUCUGGUUGGCGAACAACUUGCUUGAGGAAUAGCUAUCACCUUUGACACAUAAUUCAAAUAUUAGUCAUUGUUUAUUGCUCCUCGUACCUAAAUAUUGAUUUCUUGGUGCUGAUUAUUUAUGGACAUUCAUUUUGUCCUUGAAUGUUAUAAGCAUUGAUGAGAAGUAAUGCAAUUCACCUUGUAUCAAGUGUUAGUGAAAGAAAAGCCAACAGAGACUUUGCUAUGACAUAGAGU
rnacentral:misc_RNA from 1 species